ensembl:misc_RNA Metazoa_SRP Metazoan signal recognition particle RNA
GCUGGGCGUGGUGGCUCACGCCUGUAAUCCCAGCACUUUGGGAGGCCGAGGCAGGCGAAUCACCUGAGGUCGGGAGUUUGAGAGCAGCCUGACCGAUAUGGUGAAACCCUGUCUCUU